rnacentral:rRNA from 1 species
UGGGGAAUUUUGGACAAUGGGGGAAACCCUGAUCCAGCCAUCCCGCGUGUGCGAUGAAGGCCUUCGGGUUGUAAAGCACUUUUGGCAGGAAAGAAACGUCAUGGGUUAAUACCCCGUGAAACUGACGGUACCUGCAGAAUAAGCACCGGCUAACUACGUGCCAGCAGCCGCGGUAAUACGUAGGGUGCAAGCGUUAAUCGGAAUUACUGGGCGUAAAGCGUGCGCAGGCGGUUCGGAAAGAAAGAUGUGAAAUCCCAGAGCUCAACUUUGGAACUGCAUUUGUAACUACCGGGUUAGAGUGUGUCAGAGGGAGGUGGAAUUCCGCGUGUAGCAGUGAAAUGCGUAGAUAUGCGGAGGAACACCGAUGGCGAAGGCAGCCUCCUGGGAUAACACUGACGCUCAUGCACGAAAGCGUGGGGAGCAAACAGG